GACGAACGCUGGCGGCGUGCUUAACACAUGCAAGUCGAACGGAAAGGCCCUGCUUUUGUGGGGUGCUCGAGUGGCGAACGGGUGAGUAACACGUGAGUAACCUGCCCUUGACUUUGGGAUAACUUCAGGAAACUGGGGCUAAUACCGGAUAGGAGCUCCUGCUGCAUGGUGGGGGUUGGAAAGUUUCGGCGGUUGGGGAUGGACUCGCGGCUUAUCAGCUUGUUUGUGGGGUAGUUGCUUACCAAGGCUUUGACGGGUAGCCGGCCUGAGAGGGUGACCGGGCACAUUGGGACUGAGAGACGGCCCAGACGCCUACGGGAGGCAGCAGGGGGGAAUAUUGCACAAUGGGCGGAAGCCUGAGGCAGCAACGCCGCGUGCGGGAUGACGGCCUUCGGGUUGUAAACCGCUUUCGCCUGUGACGAAGCGUGAGUGACGGUAAUGGGUAAAGAAGCACCGGCUAACUACGUG
rnacentral:rRNA from 1 species